UAAUUAAGGGCCUGGUCCAAAGCCCAUUAAAGUCAAUGGGAGCCUUUCAAUUGACUUCAAUGGACUUUGGAUCAGGCCUUAACUUA
rnacentral:pre_miRNA from 1 species